rnacentral:rRNA from 1 species
UACGUAGGGUGCAAGCGUUGUCCGGAAUUAUUGGGCGUAAAGAGCUCGUAGGCGGUCUGUCACGUCGGCUGUGAAAUCCCGAGGCUCAACCUCGGGUCUGCAGUCGAUACGGGCAAACUAGAGUGUGGUAGGGGAGACUGGAAUUCCUGGUGUAGCGGUGAAAUGCGCAGAUAUCAGGAGGAACACCGGCGGCGAAGGCGGGUCUCUGGGCCAUAACUGACGCUGAGGCGCGAAAGCCAGGGGAGCAAACGGG